AGUGAACGCUGGCGGUAGGCCUAACACAUGCAAGUCGAACGGCAGCACAGUAAGAGCUUGCUCUUACGGGUGGCGAGUGGCGGACGAGUGAGGAAUACAUCGGAAUCUACUUUUUCGUGGGGGAUAACGUAGGGAAACUUACGCUAAUACCGCAUACGACCUACGGGUGAAAGCAGGGGAUCUUCGGACCUUGCGCGAUUGAAUGAGCCGAUGUCGGAUUAGCUAGUUGGCGGGGUAAAGGCCCACCAAGGCGACGAUCCGUAGCUGGUCUGAGAGGAUGAUCAGCCACACUGGAACUGAGACACGGUCCAGACUCCUACGGGAGGCAGCAGUGGGGAAUAUUGGACAAUGGGCGCAAGCCUGAUCCAGCCAUACCGCGUGGGUGAAGAAGGCCUUCGGGUUGUAAAGCCCUUUUGUUGGGAAAGAAAAGCAGCAGGUUAAUACCCCGCUGUUCUGACGGUACCCAAAGAAUAAGCACCGGCGAACUUCGU
rnacentral:rRNA from 1 species